rnacentral:lncRNA from 1 species
CUGACUUACAGUCUGUUCUAUUCUUCAAUUCCUUCAUCAAAAGUCAGGGAGAAGAGAAAUACAUGCAAGACACAACUGCAAUAUGAAAAAUCAUUGAAGUACUGACAGGUGGAUUCAGCUGUAUGUAACAGAUUAAUACAACGAAGAAACAUUAGCAGCUGUUUAAUCUAUUCAGAUGGUGGAUUACAAAAACACCACUACCAGAAUGAAGAAAGUUGCUCCUGAGGAAAUGCCUUUAGAGUGUUCUGUCUCACAAAAUCUUGAAGAAAGCUGAACAUGUAACCAAGAAUGGAAAAAGGUUUGUUCCUGAAGGUCAGAACUAUAUUAUGCUCUUCAGUGAUGACUCCCAUCAUUCUUGAAGAUCUUCUGAGAAGGAAUACAAAAAAAGUGAUACUCCCUGCUGCAAGGAAGCAGCAAAUCCAUCCCACUUUGGAGAUAAUGACGCUGACUGAGCUAUUGCUGAUCACAGAAAAGUCAUCCAGAUGCCCCUGUUUGGAGACUUGUGUUUCAUUAAAACCAAAGGCGCCAGGGAGGAACGGCAGUGAUACUCCUGGAGAUGUGGGUUUUCUGCAGAGGUCCUACUGUCUUUACAGAACAUAACAGAAAAUAAUAUAAAUAGUUUCAAAAAACUGCUGUUAUGAUCUUCCUCUCAUUUUGACUCUUAAGGACUAACUUUUACAAAUUUGUGCUGCACAAAUUAAAAAAAAAUAUUCUUAGGGUUAUUACAUGUAUAAAUCUAGGAAGUCUCAACACUCCCUGAAAAACUUUGUAAGACUUAUGACUUUCUAGGGACUUUUUUUUUUUUGGAAAGAUUUCCAACAGUAGAAUAAACUGAAUGCUCAGUAGAUAAGUCUUUCUUGA